GGUCUUUAUAUAUGGUCUAGUGGUUAGAGCAUCCGCCUCGGAUGCGGGAAGUCGAGGGUUCGAUUCCCGGACGAAUCA